rnacentral:rRNA from 1 species
CCUACGGGCGGCAGCAGUGAGGAAUAUUGGUCAAUGGACGAGAGUCUGAACCAGCCAAGUAGCGUGAAGGAUGACUGCCCUAUGGGUUGUAAACUUCUUUUAUAUGGGAAUAAAAUGUUCCACGUGUGGGAUUUUGUAUGUACCAUAUGAAUAAGGAUCGGCUAACUCCGUGCCAGCAGCCGCGGUAAUACGGAGGGUCCGAGCGUUAACCGGAUUUAGUGGGUGUAAAGGGGGCGUAGGUUGAUUGUUAAGUCAGUUGUGAAAGUUUGCGGCGCAACCGUAAAAUUGCAGUUGAAACUGGAAGGAUUGAGUACAGUAGAGGUGGGCGGAAUUCGUGGUGUAGCGGUGAAAUGCUUAGAUAUCACGAAGAACUCCGAUUGCGAAGGCAGUUCACUGGACUGCAACUGACACUGAGGCUCGAAAGUGUGGGUAUCAAACAGGAUUAGAUACCCUGGUAGUC